rnacentral:rRNA from 1 species
GAUGAACGCUGGCGGCGUGCCUAAUACAUGCAAGUCGAGCGAACAGACGAGGAGCUUGCUCCUCUGACGUUAGCGGCGGACGGGUGAGUAACACGUGGAUAACCUACCUAUAAGACUGGGAUAACUUCGGGAAACCGGAGCUAAUACCGGAUAAUAUAUUGAACCGCAUGGUUCAAUAGUGAAAGACGGUUUUGCUGUCACUUAUAGAUGGAUCCGCGCCGCAUUAGCUAGUUGGUAAGGUAACGGCUUACCAAGGCAACGAUGCGUAGCCGACCUGAGAGGGUGAGCGGCCACCCUGGAACUGAGACACGGUCCAGACUCCUACGGGAGGCAGCAGUAGGGAAUCUUCCGCAAUGGGCGAGAGCCUGGCGGAGCCACGCCGCGUGAGUGAUGAAGGUCUUCGGAUCGUAGAACUCUGUUAUUAGGGAAGAACAAAUGUGUAAGUAACUAUGCACGUCUUGACGGUACCUAAUCAGAAAGCCACGGCUAACUCCGUG